AGCCAAAGCCCCGCCGAGCUUGCUCGAGCGGGGCUUUGGCCUUGGCGAACGCCAAACAUGAGGAUGGAGCGCCGCCUGCGGCGCGGGAAUCCGAAUGUUUGGAGCAUGGCGGGAGCGCGAAGCGCGGAGCCAUGCGUUGC
rnacentral:sRNA from 1 species